GUACUUGCUUCGGCAGUACAUAUACUAAAAUUGGAACGAUACAGAGAAGAUUAGCAUGGCCCCUGCGCAAGGAUAAAUCAGCCAAGAUAGUAAAUAUAUCAAUAUAA